rnacentral:lncRNA from 1 species
UAGAUAAAACUUCAGGUUUUGAACAUCUCUUCCUCUAAUACAGGGCCGCCAUCGACUGGCAACUCGUGAGGAACAGGGCUGCGGAGAUCGCCAAGACCCCCGAGUUCAAUGACCUGCUGCGGUUGCCCAACUGCCGGGAUAAGCCACACAACAUUCUCCCUAUCCGAUCCUGCAGCAGGUAUAUAUGCUCCUUCCUACUAGUAGUACUUAAAUCUGAAUCCCAGCGAGUAUGCGAUUGGUUUUCAGUUUUGCUGGACACAUAUGUGGAUUUGGAACUGACUGGAACAUGAUGAUUUUGUUAGCCCACUGAAGAAUUACCCAACACCUCAAUACUCUGCCACACUAUGUUGAGUUUUUUAAUCAUGUGCGAGUUAAUUGAUACUACAAUAGUAUGUUUAGUCCUAGUUCUUUGCAGGACCUUGUGCGAGUUAAUUGAUACUACAAUAGACUCAGCAUAGAAGUAUGCUAUUCUUGCAGUGUCUAUUCUGUCGAAAAAUUGAAAACACUUUUCUUAAUGCAAUCUUUAUAUUUGACCAUGAAAACACUUUGCUUGCUGUCAAAGAUGGUGUGUAUUGUACACACCCCUCUGUGAUUUAUGCACUUCACAUGCAUUUUCCCCAUCACCCACAAACCGUAACAUGCUAGUUGUAUGUGCUACUGCAAUUCUUGCACUUGAUUUCAAAUCGUUCUCUGCUCUGUGUGUGCACGUGUGUUAAUGAUGGAUUGGCUGGUUAGAUGAUGCUACAACAACAUAUUCCUGAGAUUCUCUUUGAGGAAUACAAAAUCAAGGUUUUAAAGACUGAUGGCCAGCUUGUCUAAUGUUUGUUUUCUUCUAUACACUUGCUCCUUCCAGUAGGCAUUGCAAGUGAUGUGUUCAAGUGUAGUCCUCUAGUCACAUUUUUUAACCAGUACCAUAUGAUUGUAGCAUACUUCUAGUUUUAGUCAUUUAACAUCUUAAUUUAGCUAGAAUGAUGAAGUAGUUGCACUUGGAAGAUGGUCUGAGCAAAUGAUGAUUCAUAUGAUUAUUCUGGCAUUGCUAUGUUUGAUCUGGUGGUGCCAAAAAAACUCAUGCUUAUGCUGAGCUUACUUUUAAUAUCAUUUUAUUCUGUGUGAUGAGCUUAGUUUUGUACUGUAGCCACCUUCUUGUUUACUUUGUUGAAUCCUGUCCUGUGUACUAAUCAUGAGCUACUAGCAUUUGGCUUCUGUGUGCUAAUUAAACCUGGUAAGUAUGUAUACUUCUUUGAGAUACAAAUUCCACAUUGCAUGUUUAUGUGCUAAUUAAACUUGAUAAGUAUGUAUACUUCUUUGAGAUACAAAUUCCACAUUGCAUGUUUAUGAGGUUCAAUUUCUACAGAUGUUGCCAAAUGAAUGUGUCAACAUGUCUCUCCUUAGGGGUUGUUUUAAAUCACAGAUGAUCUACUGUAUCAAUUUUUUGCUGUUCAAAGAUUGAAAUCCUGGUUCAUUUUAAAGAUCGAAAUGUUGUUGACCCUGUUCUUCUAUGCUUAAAUGGUAAAAAUGUCGCAUUUUUCUUGUUCUAACCAUUUUUCUUGAUAACUUGCAGAUGCUGGCCUUCAUUCAUGUUUUGUCGUGAGGUCCAGGAUGAACAAGUUGGGAGAAGCAUUGGAGCUAGUUAUACUAUGAUAGUUGUGUUACCUGAUGUGAACAUUUUUUAUUGUAAACUUGAUGUGAAGCAUAUUUUUCUGUAAUAAUGUGUUACCAGGAUGAACCAUCCUUGCUGUGUUACCAGGAUGAACAAGUUUGAUUGUAAUAAUGUGCCAAGUUUGGCUCUUUCUGAUUGUAUUCGUGAUGUGUACCAUAUUUUUCCUAAUUAG